AACUUUUGGCAAUGGAUCACUUGGCUCUGGCAUCGAUGAAGAACGCAGCGAAAUGCGAUACGUAAUGCGAAUUGCAGAUCUCAGCGAGCCAUCGAAUCUUUGAACGCACAUUGCGCCCGCCAGUAUUCUGGCGGUGCAUGCCUGCCCGAGCGUCAUUUCUACCCGUCGAGCCCCGCUCGUGCUGGGGCCCUGCGGCUGCCGCAGGCCCCGAAAGACAGUGGCGGGACCGCCGCCGCGCCGAGCGUAGUAGCGCAAGCCUCGCUCCGGGGCGGCGGCGGCCCCGGCCCGGGCCCGGCCCGAUACCACACCACUCCAGGAUGACCUCGGUUCAGGUAGGAAUACCCGCCGAACUUAAGCAUAUCAAUAAGCGGAGGCU
rnacentral:misc_RNA from 1 species